CAAUUAGACAAAAAAUACUUCUUUGUUAAUUCUGUGACACUGAAAAAGUACUAGUAAGGCACACGGUGUGUUUUAUACAGUCUAUGGGCAGCUGAAGAGUCUGGCUCAUUUUCAAAUAAUGUUACCGUUAACUUUUUGAGCCAACGGUCACGGUAGCGAUUUUUUUUAACAUUAAUGUCAACGCCUUAAUGCGUUUUCAGAAGUUUCUCGGAGGGAAAAUGUAAAAGCGGGUUAUUAAAGAGAAGUCCUGACUGCUUUUUCACCGUGUUUUUCACUCUUUUACAGGCUUCCAGAAAUAAUCCGGUGAAAUAAUAUGAUGUUUGUUUGUGUAAAUGCUGUGUGUGCGUUGAGUCCUGCGCGAGCGGGGAGCAGAGUUGCCAUGGAAACGGGGCAUCAACACAAAAACCGUUACUGGCAAGCAGUAAUCUCCGUAUCUCGCUGCAGUUUACACUGUUUUGGAAACGGUUUAGUGUCUUCGGAAAAGUCCGUUAUCAUUUUAGCAGUUUUCAGAUGUUUGUGUAAAUGCUGUGUGCGCGUUGAGUCCUGCGCCAGCGGGGAGCAGAGUUGCCAUGGAAACGGGGCGUCAACACAAAAACCGUUACUGGCAAGCAGUAAUCUCCGUCUCUCGCUGCGGUUUACACUGUUUUGGGGCCAGCAGAGCCCUGCUCACCCUGACGGCCCACCGCUGCUGUCAGACAACAUCUCAAAGAUGCUAUAAACUGCAGGACCAGAUGGCCAUCCCAAGGUUUCUAGAGAUUACAGCAGCUCCAGACUGAAUCCAAACUCACUUUUGAAGACUUCAGAUGACACCAACGCUCACAAAGACUACAGACGACAACUGUACAUGAACACACAAAACAUUGGACACACAAAACAAAUAUUAUCCUUAU